rnacentral:rRNA from 1 species
GAUGAACGCUGGCGGCGUGCCUAAUACAUGCAAGUCGAGCGAACAGACGAGGAUCUUGCUCCUCUGACGUUAGCGGCGGACGGGUGGGUAACACGUGGAUCACCUACCUAUAAGACUGGGAUAACUUCGGGAAACCGGAGCUAAUACCGGAUAAUAUAUUGAACCGCAUGGUUCAAUAGUGAAAGGCGGUUUUGCUGUUACUUAUAGAUGGAUCCGCGCCGCGUUAGCUACUUGGUAGGGUAACGGAUUACCAAGGCAACGAGGCCUAGCGGACCUGGGAGGGGAGUCGGCCACACUGGAAUGGGGACACGGUCCGGCCCCGAAGGGUAGGCGGGGGAGGGGAAUCUACCACAGUGGCGAAAGCCUGAGGGAGCAACGGCGCGGGAGUGAUGAAGGUCUUCGGAUCGUAAAACUCUGUUAUUAGGGAAGAACAAAUGUGUAAGUAACUAGGCACGUCUUGACGGUACCUAAUCAGAAAGCCACGGCUAACUACGUG